rnacentral:lncRNA from 1 species
CUCAAAAGGUAAAAUACUACAACAUGAAAUACCUCUAAACCCUUACAAAAACUAAGAAAAUCAGCAAAUCAAUGACUGAAAUUGUAGUACAACCAUCAUUUACUUUUCAAGUAACCAAAUCGAUGAAUUUUUCCGUUUUAAGACUUGGAAUCUUCAGCAAACAGCAAUAUUGUUCUCAAAAGGUAAAACACGACAAAAGGAAAUACCUCUAGUCCCUUGCAAAAACUAAGAAAAUCAGCAAAUCAAUAACUGAAACUGUAGUACUACAAUCUUUUACAUUUCAGGUAACCAAAUCGAUGAAUUUUUCCGUUUUAAGACUUGGAAUCUUCAAUAAACAGCAAUAUUGUGCUCAAAAGGGAAAACACCACAACAGGAAAACUGGUAUAUGAGGUUGAAAAACUGGUAGAGAACCACAAUUCAGCACAAGAUAUAUUAAAUGAUGAAUUGGAU